rnacentral:rRNA from 1 species
GACGAACGCUGGCGGCGUGCCUAAUACAUGCAAGUUGAGCGAUGAAGAUUGGUGCUUGCACCAAUUUGAAGAGCAGCGAACGGGUGAGUAACGCGUGGGGAAUCUGCCUUUGAGCGGGGGACAACAUUUGGAAACGAAUGCUAAUACCGCAUAAUAACUUUAAACAUAAGUUUUAAGGUUGAAAGAUGCAAUUGCAUCACUCAAAGAUGAUCCCGCGUUGUAUUAGCUAGUUGGUGAGGUAAAGGCUCACCAAGGCGAUGAUACAUAGCCGACCUGAGAGGGGGAUCGGCCGCAUUGGGACUGAGACACGGCCCAAAGUCCUAGGGGAGGCAGCAGGAGGGAAUCGUCGGCAAGGGACGAAAGUCUGACCGAGCAACGCCGAGUGAGUGAAGAAGGUUUUCGGAUCGUAAAACUCUGUUGGUAGAGAGGAACGUUGGUGAGAGUGGAAAGCUCAUCAAGUGACGGUAACGACCCAGAAAGCGACGGCUAACUACGUG